rfam:Actinoplanes sp. N902-109, complete genome.
CUUCACCGAGCCCAGCCACAACGGGCGGUCAUCGGCCCGGUCCUGCCCGUACGUCGCCAGCAACGCCUGCGCCUC